rnacentral:tmRNA from 3 species
ACGUUCUCUGAGGGAAUUUUAAAACACAAGACUACACUCGUAGAAAGUCUUACUGGUCUGCUUUCGGACACGGGUUCGACACCCGUCGCCUCCACCA